GACCCAUGAUACAGGAAAAAUGCAGAGGAUUAGGAACGCUUUCCCUGGUUGCUCAGGCAACAGAAAGACAUGGGAAUAUGAAAAGGACUUAAGAAUCUAAGAAGCAUGAACACAUCUGGGCAGCCAAGUGGGUGUCCCUCUGUAAAUUGGAAGCUGGGGGAAAAGGACAAAACCUGGGCACCAGGGUUUCAGGAUUAGUGCCAGUGGCAGGUGAGACUUUGCCCAAUACUUAUGAAAAUGGACACACCUUUCUUUUUUUUUUCCAUUUAUUUUUAGCUCAGCAUGUUAUGAAAUAAGGGCUCUGUUCAGAUUCUAUCAAUGGACUGUUUCAUAUUUAACGUUUCAGAGUUGCCCAUGUCUGGUUCAUCAGUGUGAAGCCAGCAAUGUUUGACUUGUGCUUGCUCUUGCUUCAGGCACCUCUGCUCGGCUGAAUAAUUAACAGCAGCUCCUGCUGCUCUCUUGUAGGCUGGGGUUUAUCAGCCAUGAAGAAGUCCCAGUCUGUUAGUGAUCCUGAUUUGCGAUAAUUUCUAUCCACUUUAUGACUUCAAACUGGAAACAAUAUCAAGGUGGGGUUUGUAUUGCCCAGCUGCUUCCCCGAGGCAGCCCAGCAUCAGCAAGGACAGCCUGUUCCAGCUCCGACCUCUGUAAACACCGACAGAUCUCCUCCAGAUACCCAGCUGUUGCGAUCGUGAAAGGACAUGUCUUUGGGCCCUCCUCCCUCCGCCUCCACAUUG